GACGAACGCUGGCGGCGUGCCUAAUACAUGCAAGUAGAACGCUGAAGGAGGAGCUUGCUUCUCUGGAUGAGUUGCGAACGGGUGAGUAACGCGUAGGUAACCUGCCUGGUAGCGGGGGAUAACUAUUGGAAACGAUAGCUAAUACCGCAUAAGAGUAGAUGUUGCAUGACAUUUGCUUAAAAGGUGCAAUUGCAUCACUACCAGAUGGACCUGCGUUGUAUUAGCUAGUUGGUGAGGUAACGGCUCACCAAGGCAACGAUACAUAGCCGACCUGAGAGGGUGAUCGGCCACACUGGGACUGAGACACGGCCCAGACUCCUACGGGAGGCAGCAGUAGGGAAUCUUCGGCAAUGGACGGAAGUCUGACCGAGCAACGCCGCGUGAGUGAAGAAGGUUUUCGGAUCGUAAAGCUCUGUUGUAAGAGAAGAACGAGUGUGAGAGUGGAAAGUUUCACACUGUGACGUAUCUACCAGAAAGG
rnacentral:rRNA from 1 species